AAAGAACAAUUCUCUCCAAUUAUAUUACAAGUUUUUGAAUGAAAUUAUAGGAAAAAUACCUGGAUGGCGCCAUCCGCGAGGAUCAACAGAAGAUUCAUCAGCGAAGACAGUAUCAAAAUGUGAAAAUUUCGUGAUUGAUUAUAUAGAGGCUUCAUAUUUAGGUCUGUUCACUCUAAACAGUUUAUAUCGUGGAAAGAUCAUGCCCAUCUACUUCCCCAUUGAUGAUUACUCUUCUACUUUCCCUCCUUUCAUGACCAAAAAAAUUGCUGAUUCUUCCACUCAGAAAAAUUCACAGCAAAUAUGCAAACUUACACCUACUGAUGAUCAAGACCUGACAACAUUUUGCGCUACAUCCCUGAAAUCAAUGCUUGAUUACAUUCGUUUGGCUUUCAAAUCGGAGGGCGGAUUUAAAGUGAUUGAAACCACCCACUACCCUUCAUUAUCAACUGCCUUAUUACAAGACUAUAUUAUCACAGAAAAUCUGCAGGAGAUUGGAGGUUCUGGUAAGGUAUUUUGUCAUCCUAUGUAUCGUUCUUUCUAUUGCCAUUUUGAUGAUCAACUUGCAAAGGUAUUCAAGAUAUCACUAGCUGGUGAAAAUGGAGAUCAAGUGGAAGCUAUUGCUGUUUGCCAUAUGGACACUUCAGGGAUGGGCCCUGAUCUUAUUGCUUUUCGCUUGCUUCCUGUCAAGCCUGGCUCUCCUUUUUGCCAUUUCCUGCCUGCAGGUCAUCUUGUUUGGGUUCACUCUCCUACUAUAGCAUAUGUAUCUUAGUUCCAAUUUAAGUAGUUACUUUUGUUUUUUCUGCUUGUGUUUUGUCUUGUAAACAUGUUAAUUGGUGAUCAUCAU
rnacentral:misc_RNA from 1 species